CACCACGGAUCUGGCCUGGACUUAGGCUGCUUUCCCAUGGUCUGGAGGUCAUGGUUGGAGGUCAGGAUGCCGGCAAGGCCUGUUGUCUCGUGGUUACAAGAUGGCUUCCAUAUCUCUCGGAAUCUUGCACUCAUGUGAGAGCUGAAGGUUGGGAAGACGGCACAGAUCCAAGGUGCAUGGUGGUGCAUUCUUGGCAAAGGCAAUGAACGCCCCUGACCAGACCUUCCCAUGGACCUCUGGGGCAUAGCAGUGAGGUCAGCAGCUCCUCACAGAGGCCGGCACACACGCCUUA